UCCUCUGCAGCAAUGCGAUUUGACUCGCGUCUUUGUUGACCGAGUUUAAAGAAAGCUAGAGGAUGGUCAGUUUAGACUAGCCCGAGUGCUAAGCAUUCUUGGGUCUAGGCUAGAUUGCUCAUUAUAUCUAUUUUUUAC
rnacentral:misc_RNA from 1 species